GAUGAACGCUGACAGAAUGCUUAACACAUGCAAGUCAACUUGAACUUCGGUUUGGGUGGCGGACGGGUGAGUAACGCGUAAAGAACUUGCCUCACAGAUAGGGACAACAUUUGGAAACGAAUGCUAAUACCUGAUAUUAUGAUUUUAGGGCAUCCUAGGAUUAUGAAAGCUAUAUGCGCUGUGAGAGAGCUUUGCGUCCCAUUAGCUAGUUGGAGAGGUAACGGCUCACCAAGGCGAUGAUGGGUAGCCGGCCUGAGAGGGUGAUCGGCCACAAGGGGACUGAGACACGGCCCUUACUCCUACGGGAGGCAGCAGUGGGGAAUAUUGGACAAUGGACCAAGAGUCUGAUCCAGCAAUUCUGUGUGCACGAUGAAGUUUUUCGGAAUGUAAAGUGCUUUCAGUUGGGAAGAAAAAAAUGACGGUACCAACAGAAGA
rnacentral:rRNA from 1 species